ACCUGGGAUAGCUCAGUUGGUAGAGCAUGAGACACUUAAUCUGAAGAUUGUGGGUUCAAGCCCCACAUUGGGCA